CUUUUUUUUUAGUGGAUGGUUGUAGCCGGAUCAUCCAACAGGCAUCCGGAUCAUCCGGGAUAUGUCCGGAUCGUCCGGGGUGGCCUCCGGUUUGUCCGGGCUGCUUGCAGCUCUGCUGCUACCAUCUGCAUCCAGGCCUUCAGCCAGAUUAUCUGGACAAUGUCCAGAUCAUCCGAGCUGGUCAACUUCUGUCCAAACGGCUCAAUUCUGGGUGUGGUAUAAAUAGUCCCUUACCUCUUCGAGAUAAGGUUGAACACUUCACACAAACACGCCUCAAGAACACCAGUGCUCCCUCUCUCUUGCUCAUACACUAAAUCCUAGAUCCCGGCUUAAUUCUUGAGAGUUUUGAAGAGUUGUUCCAAUCAAAAGAAAGAUCUUCCCCCUCUCCUUCUUGUGACCAAAACAAAUCGUGAUUUGAGCAAGUCUUGAGCUUUUCUCCUUGGAUCUUGUUACUCUUGGAGGUUGGAGACUCCUAGGCGGUAGGAGUCAUUCGGUGAGGAAUCAACCAUUGUGACCGGAAAGUUUGUGAGGGUUUGGAGACCACCCCAAGGUCUACCACUAGUGGUUGAGAAACGCCUUUGUGGUGUUGUCUCAAAGAGAGAAUAGGGUGAGCCUCCGUGGUGUUGGUGUGCCUUCGUGGUAACAUCCACCUCUUCUAAACGGUGACGUAGCUUCCCUCUAAGGAAGUGAACAUCGGCAUGCAUCCUCGUCUCUCGGAGUUGCGGUUAUUCCUAACCCUAACUCCCUACUUGUGGUUACUUGUCUCUUGCACUUACGUUUAUCAUAUUGUGCUUCCUUACUCAUAUAUUUGUGCCACUUGUUUAUCUUGCUUAGCACUUAGUGUCACACUUGCAAUUGUUAGGCUUACUUACAUAUUCCGCAUUAUUGCCUAAAAUUGCUAAGUAACAAUUAAAAUUUGUUGUUGUACCUAUUCACCCCCCCUCUAGGUCCAUCUCGAUCCUUUCACACUUAACGUUCGGUAGCGCUAGGGUAGUAUUGAGAUAUUAAUAUGGUGAAGUUUGAAGGUUGUUCGGAGUCUCAGAUGGGAUCCAGGACAUCACGAGGAGUUCUAGAAUGGUCCAGAGGUAAAGAUUUAUAUAUGGGAAGUCAUAUUCAGGGUUCCAAAAAAUGUUCGGGAUUUUUCAGUAUUAUACCGGGAAGGUUCUACAAGGUUCCGGAGUGGGGCCCACCUACAUGAGGGGACCCACAUGAAAGUGUGUAGUGUGGCAAGACUCCACACCCCCUGGUCUAGGCAUAAUACCCCCUAAAAGGAAUAGGAUCAUACCCGAAGGAAUAAGAUCAAGAUCCCUAAAAAAGGGGAUAGCGAUCGGUGGGGGAAGGAAAGGAGAGAUCCCCCCCCCCCUUGGCCAACAACCCUAGGGGCUUGGAGGGCAAGCCACCAACCCCCUCCACCUCUCUAUAUAGUGGGGAGCUGCAUCCUUCCACCCUUGCCAUGUCUCUCUCCCUUUAGUCCUCCAUAUCCUCCGCCCAGUGCUUAGCGAAGCCCUGCUCGGAGUUCCGCUGCAAUCACGACCACCACGCCGUCUUGCUGGUCACGAUCUCAUCUACCACUUCUCCCUCGCCUGUUGGGUCAAGCAGAAGAAGACACCACCGAGUCGAAUGUGUGCUAAUCUCGGAGGUGCCGCAUGUGUGGUACUUGGAUCGGAUUGUACCACGACGUGAAUAUGACUACGUCAAUCACGAUCAUUAGAUCCUUAACAUUUUUGGUUUACAAGGGUACGUAGACACACUCCCCUCUUAUUUCUAGCAUCUCCAUAGGUAGAUCUUUGUGUGUUUAGUAGUAAUUUUUUUGAUUUUCAUGCAACGUUCCCCAUCAAAAGACACAUUGUCUUGCUGAAUGAUGUACAUGUCGUAGAGCGUAAUGUGCUUUCAUGCGUGAAAUGAGUCAUGCACUUGCUACCAGAAGGCCUCCCCUCUGCUCCUGCCUAUGAAACAUGCGGAUACGGCCAACCACGCAUCGCACAACAACUCAUAAUUCAUGGUCGAGUAGCUCGCUAUUCUUCACUAGUAAAUGCGCACGUGCAACACAUGUUAAUAUUUAGGCAAAAUAUUAAAUGCACACGGAUAUUAGGUAUGCUAUUAUUCGUGUGUUAAUUCUAUGAUUAGUGCAAUAUUUAGCAUGAUAUUAAUUGCACGUUAAACACGUUGAAUGCUCGCCAUUGGAGCAACCUAGGUCGUUGGAUUGACUUAGUUUGAUGGACGAGAUCAGUUGGAUCUGCCCCUUUGAGUCUUUUUAUAUUGGUAUAGAUACUCUAAAAAACAACAUAACAUUCGAAAAUAAGCUCAAUGACAUUUGAUCAAACACCUGCGGAGCGCGGUGUCCGCCAUGGAGGUCAUCGACGGGGGGCGGAGUGUACCUGGGUACAAACGGCUCCAGGGUGGACAACACCGUCAUAGAGGCGAGCGGGCGCGUCGGUGCUGGUUGCGAACGUCCGACAAUGGCUUUGUCACGACCGGAGACGUACAACAUCGGCAGCGGAGAUGGAUGAUGCGGAUGUAAAUCAAGGGAAAGAAGGGGCAGAGUGGAAGGAAAUAGGACCGGGAGGAGGGAUUGGAUGGGCUUGGGGUGUUGGAGUCCUACGUGUCUGCUGUCAGGACUCCUGCAAAGCUCCCCACUUUGUCUCCAAUUUGCGAGAGAAAACGCGUUUGAAUCGCUCUGCGGACCGAUACAAGGCCGUGAUGGAUGGCUUCUGCGAUCUGGACAAUCCGGUCCGGACGGUUUGAGGGUCGCCGUUGGUGAUGCCAUUAGAAAUUUUAAUACGGAUUACAUACGGAUGUAUAUAGACAUAUUUUAUAUAGUGUAGAUUCACUCAUUUGCUUUGUAUAUAGUUUAUAUAGGAUCUCUAAAAAAGGCUUAUAUUGAGGAAUGGAGCGAGUACAAUUUCUGCGUCAGUGUAGGUCUUGUGCCAUCUAGGCAAAUCUAAGAUAACUAAUCUGGGACAUAGGUAAUCUUUACCUAACAAUAAAGAGGUUAUUGCUUCUGCCUGUCCGUCACUAAAAUUACCCCCGAAGUUGUCAUAACUUACCCACUAUGCCACAAGUGAAGAAAUGAUUCAGUUUUUUUUGAAAGUCGUCGUGAGGAGUGCCACAAUGGUCAAGUUCGAUCCCCGGCUCAGCCUUUUUCUCUUCUUUUCUCUCCAAGCGCUCCUCCUCCUCCCACACAUGUAUGGGCCUGCCCAUGUACGGAAGUAUGCCCCCCCUGCUGUUUUCAUUUCCUUUUUUGCUUUUUCUUUUCUUAUUUAUGUUUAUGUUUUUCCUUUUAAAAUUAAUUCAGGAUUUCCAAAAAUUCAAAAUUUUAGAAAUUUGUGAGUUGAUUAUUUUUAGAAAUCACAAAAUGUUCGAUAAUUCAAAAAGUGGUAGGGAAAUCAUAAAUUGUUCAAGAUUUUUAAAAUCUGUUUGCAUAUUAUUAAAAAAAUACGAUUUCAAUUUUUUUUAUGAUUUUUAAAAAGUGAUCAUGAAUUCAAAACAUAUUCAACAAUUUGAAAAUAAUGUCCAUGAAAGUUUAGAAAAUGUUCGCAAAAAUACAAACAUACACGUAAAUAACGAACAAAAUGAACCAUCGCUUAGACAGAGCUCUUUUGAGGAUACAUAGAUGUUGUUUUAUGAUUUUAUUUAGUCCAUCACGCAUCGGUUAAAAAAGGGAUUUUGUGUUCUAUAUAACGCUUGUCCCCGGAAAAAUUGACACAACUUCCUAUGGGUCCACCCGCAAAAAAAAAUCCUAUGGGUUAGUUUUUGUAAGGUAUAUGAAAAUAACUAAAUGUCUAAUUUGCCUUCAUACAUAGCUAUGUUUAUUCUGGUAUUAUAGUUAUACUGGUCAUGAAAAACACCGCGAUGCUAGGUCAAGAUGAGGCACAUCAUUCAUCAGUCUAGCUCAGGUAGGAUUCGUCAAUGCAGCUUGUUUAGGCAAAAAAUAUUUUAUUGUGGCGCCUUAGGAAAUUAAGUCGUGACGAAACCAUCACAUUUUCAGCUUUUGAAAUGACUUCUUAAAAAUCCCUGAUCUCAUCAUGACAUGAUUUAGACAUAGUUUAUGAAAUGACAUUUUAGAAGUCCUUUUCUCAUUCUGAUAUAUCUGAUUGUUUUUUCGCGUUACAACGCACGUACAUAUUUGUUGCUAUGUUUAGAAAGCUAUAUUUCCCGCAAAGGAAAAAGCUACUCCAUUUUCACUAGAAAUCACCCCGGCCUCAAUGCAUUGCCGAACGCAUAUAAUCUUAACAGAUUUCCCCUUUUUCCGUUCCCCGUUCCUUCACAUACAUUGUUUCCUACCCUGUGUUUUGAAAAACUCUAUUCCGAACAGGCCCUUGGCCCCUUGCCGUGACUAAACUGGAUAUGGGGGCGAGACAAAAGGCCUGAGAUUAGCAUAGCAGGUUAACCAACACGACAGAGCUGAAAAGAUAGCAUAACAUCCUGAGCACGAUACCAAUGUCCGUCACCUGCCUCCAACAUCAUCACAACAAUCACCGAAGAAAAAAAUGACGAACCACCUUACACCCGAGCUCGACACGGCUCCAUCAUUGAUAUGCACCUUUGCGGACCUUCAAGGUGGCUCAUCAAAAGUAAAGCCCUUGUUGUUGAAUGAAUCAGACCGGGGCAACAUCCUAGACACGCCAUCGAACUUCAGAUCUGCCACCCCACCACGACUAAGAUGUCAAAGGAGAAAACCAUACCUGCCAUCCACGGACCAUGAACCCAGCACACGUUCUGUCUUUUAGAUAUCGUCGAUGCAGGCCACAAUCUACAUCCGCUCCUGAGCUACCUCCUAAGCUCCGCGCCGGCACCGAAGCAAACAUCGUCGCAGCGUCAGAAGCCAAGGAUACAGGUACACAAUGAAGAUGCCGCCGUCGUCACCUCAUCCGUAGUAGGCCGGCGUGACUCGCACUAUGUCUAAGACCCUAGACCCGAAUAUUCAUCUUAUUACGUACUACAGGAACUCGCCCCCUGGCUACCUGAUUUGCUGUAAAGAAAAGAAAACAUUACGACAUGCCACGGUAUUGGCUGGCACAUGACUAUCAUGUUAGUAGUACGGCGCCAUGCCACAUGGCAGUAUCUGCAAUCUGAUUCCACUGUUGCGUCGUGUCCCUUUGUCCUUGGUUCCGUCGGCCAAUUACGCGUGGGCAGACACGCGUGGCCUCUCUCGCGAGCAUUCGGUGAUCGCUACUGCUCGUGCUGAUGAUUUUUCACGCGGAUGAGAAAUGCCCGGGUGAAAAAGCUUUGGUGGAGCAUCGACGUGUGGCCGACUCCCCGACAGUUUUCAGACAGGAGGCGCUUUCUCUUGGUUGGUUCACCUCCCUCUGCUGUGCUGGCCGAGGGGCAAUGUUACUCAACUGCGCGUCGGGAACAUCUCAACACGACCUACUGUUCUCUGCGUCAGCGUUUGUUUUGCACGACAACAAAAUUAUCAAAAAGGAACGCCUACCAAACAACAGAUGAUUAUCAAUUUAUAAAAAAGAAUAGAUGGUCAGGUGGCCCUGCAAAUGUUACAAGUUGCAUCUCAUCUCUUGCUGUGGUAAUACUACCCCUUCAUAAAUGUCUUUUUAGAGAUUUCAAUAUGAACCACAAACGAGGCAAAAUGAGUGAAUCUACUCUUUAAAAUAUGUCUACAUACAUCCGUAUGUAGUCCAGAUUAAAAUUUCUAAAAAGACUUAUAUUUAGGAAGGGAUAAGUAUAUUUUUCGUCCUCGAAUUCUUUCGAAAGUUGAGAAAUCGUCCCUCAAUUCCAAAACCACUAAAAGUCAGUCCCUCAACUAUUUAAACCGGAUACUUUUCAUCCCUUGAUAAGGUUUAAGGUGGUUUUACAGUGACAUGACCCUUUUUUGACUGAAAAUUAUGUUGCUGUUGGAAGUGUAGCUGAAAUAUAUCUGGAGCUAUAUCCAAAUUCUGAAAUGACGAACACGACAGGAUCCGUGCAGUGAUGUUGAGCUUCUGAUGGGUCCAAAUGCUAGUAGUGAAUCAGGGAGAAGUAGAGAUCAUUUUGUCGCAUUCGCUAGUUCUGCACCUACUGGUUGUCUUGCAAUCACUGCUGGUAACUCAAAUGAGCCUGCAAAUGAAAAUUCAGAGGCUGCAAAUGAAGAUUCAGAGGCUUAUUUGCUGCUGUCUGUUCUUAUGAAUGGCUUAUUUGCUGCUAUCUGUUCUUAUGUCAGACCAUGUGAGAAUUCAUGUUUAUCGUUGAUUGUAAGCUAUAUUCAGUACUAUUUCCCUUUCCCAUUUAGUACUUUGUUAGAGUAUGUUCAACUAAAUUGGGUCGAGAAUAUGUUCAGACUAUUUUUAACUAAAUUGGGUUCAGACUAUGCUCAACUAAAUUCAGUACAAUGCUCUGAAAUGUCCAAACUAUGUUCAGUUAUAUUCAGAUUUUCUUGAACUAUGUUCAGUUCACACACAAGUGGAAGUGCAAACACUUUCCUUUUCUCUUGUUCUCACGUGUACACACGUACACACACAUACUCAUGCACAAACACUUAAUUGACGUGGCAGUCAAAACCAGUCAACAUGGCACGUUUCAAUCAAAACAGGGUCCAAGUUACAAUAAAAUCACCUUAAGCGUUAUGAGGGACGAAAAGUAUCUGGUUUAAAUUGUUGAAGGACGAAAAGUAUCCGGUUUAAAUAGUUCAAGGACUGACUUUUGGUGGUUUUGAAGUUGAGAGACGAUUUCUCAACUUUGGGAAGAGUUCGAGGAUGAAAAAUAUACUUAUCCCAUUUAGGAAUCGGAGGGAGUAUAUUUUAUCUGAGCAAAAGAUAAAAGAAUAGUUUAUAUAUUUUUUAUACUCCUUAAAUUUCCACAUGCUAAAUACUUGGCUUUCAAACAAGAUGCAGCAGUGAUUACACCUUACCACCUAGUGCCGAAUUCAAAUAACACUGGUGCAUAUAAUAUACAGGGCUAUUUUCUCAAGCUAGUCCAAAAUUCAUUAGAAGAAAAGAGAGAGAGAGAGAGCGCGCACAAACACACAAAACACAUGCCAUAGUCUAGUACGAAAGCCACAAAGUGGGUUUUUACUUCAAACAUAGGUGAUAUAUCAGUAUCACGCAUAAUCGAAUUAAUACAGGACCGUGAUAACCAGCUUUCCCAAGUCACCGAGAAAUAGGAUAAGUAAAUAUCAAUUGCAAAACCAAAUUAUAAAAAAGGCCACAUGAGAUGAAGCCACUUUAUUUGCAAACACCCACAGUUCUGGGCCAUCAC
rnacentral:lncRNA from 1 species